CAAGAAGAGAAAUCCGCUGAUGGCCAGGUACUUCACAUCCUGCUGGGAGGAGCAGAAGAUUGAGGGUCUGUCUUGCCCACACCUAGACUGAGAGCUGGGGGGUUCUCAGCCCCACUGUGUCCUGGACCCAACGUGCUGAGCCCUGGACUUGUCUCUGGCAUGGUCUCUUUUAAUCCUAACAGCAACUUGAUGGGGGAACCUGACUGCCAGCCCAGAAGUGCCCCAGGACUGAGGAGAUCCUAAACGCCAGGCAGCAGGGGAGACCCAGGGGACUCCUGCUCAUUCUCAGACCACCCUCCACACCACCUCC